UACAGAGGUGGCAAGCGUUGUUCGGAAUUACUGGGCGUAAAGGGCGAGUAGGCGGCCUUCUAAGUCAGACGUGAAAUCCCCCCGGCUUAACCUGGGAACUGCGUCUGAUACUGGGUGGCUAGAGGUUGGGAGAGGGAUGCGGAAUUCCAGGUGUAGCGGUGAAAUGCGUAGAUAUCUGGAGGAACACCGGUGGCGAAGGCGGCAUCCUGGACCAAUUCUGACGCUGAGGAGCGAAAGCCAGGGGAGCAAACGGGG
rnacentral:rRNA from 1 species